ACACUUACCUGGUGCCGGAGCCUCGUUGAUCACCGAGGACGAGCCCCAGGGCGAGGCGCGGGCAUUGCACUGCGAUCGCGUUGACCCCUGCCCCUACCCCAAACUGGGGCAAAUGGGGCAUGCAAAUUGC
rnacentral:snRNA from 1 species